rnacentral:rRNA from 1 species
UACGGGGGGGGGCAAGCGUUGUUCGGAAUUACUGGGCGUAAAGGGCUCGUAGGUGGCCAACUAAGUCAUACGUGAAAUCCCUCGGCUUAACCGGGGAACUGCGUCUGAUACUGGAUGGCUUGAGGUUGGGAGAGGGAUGCGGAAUUCCAGGUGUAGCGGUGAAAUGCGUAGAUAUCUGGAGGAACACCGGUGGCGAAGGCGGCAUCCUGGACCAAUUCUGACACUGAGGAGCGAAAGCCAGGGGAGCAACGGG